CUGCUGCACCAUCCGUCGGGUGUGGGCGAUGUUGUUGGAACUAUGAUUCUUUGACGACAUCCUUGGCAACACCAAACUGCAGUGAAACUACAGGAGGUUA